AUGUCGUCCAACAGAACCGACCGCGAGAAAUCCUGCUGCGGCAGCCUGUUCACCUUCCUCGUCGCUGCCGGCUUCGUCAUCCUCAUCUACUGGGCCAUCUUCCAGCCGCACCACAUCCGCGCGACGGUCAGCUCCGCCACGCUCACCAACCUCACCGUGGCCCCCGACAACGCCACCGUCUCCUACCGCCUCACCGUCGGGCUCGAGCUCUACAACCCCAGCCUCCGCGUCCCCAUCUACUACGACGCCCUCGACGCGGAGCUCCGCGCCAGCGGCGGGGCCUCCCUCGGCGGCCCCGCUGCCCGCGUCGCCUCGUCGCCGGCGGAGUUCCUGCAGCGCAGGAAGAGCGCCGACACGGUCAGGCUGGAGUUCGACGGGAGCAGCGGCGUCGGCGUCCCCGACGACGUCGCCAGGGAGCUGGCGAGGGAGGCGGGCGUGGGGUCCGUCAGCUUUGAGGUGGACGUGGAUGCGCGGGUGCGCUACAGGUUCGCCAGCAUCAAGAUCCGCCAGAAGCCGAGGAUUUGGUGCUGGCUCACGGUUCCGGUCAAGCCGGAGGGUGGCCUCCGUUUCGGCGGCGCUCUGGCCUCCGGCGACCGCUGUAGCGUUAAGUACUGA
rnacentral:rRNA from 1 species